UCUAUACCAUUUGGGUCGCCCAAGGGUUCUUGACACUAAGCCUCACUGGAAGAGACCACAUAGUGAGUGUUGUGCUACCAAAACUGAGGUGUUUUACUGCCUGUCACUGGCUGCGGAACUUUUUUAUGGAUCUUUGGAGGUGCUUUUGGUGGUAGUCCAGAAGCAUUCUGGUUGCCCUAGAUUGCUUGUCUUAAAUCUCAGGUUGAAUUACCAGUAUUUUGGUCAGGAGCUCAAAGAGUGAAAUCUCCUUUAUGGCUCAUAGAGAAUAAGUUGGGUUUUCUAUACUUGGGUUUGGGUAGAGUGUGUAUUCCCCACAAGUUUGGGUACCCAAAUGACCCUGGUUUCGGUAGUUAUUUAGUUCAUAGAUCUGAUUAAAAAUGUCGGAUGUCAGCAGAUCGGUGGAUUAUACAUCUGAGAGCUCUGGUAAUACCAAUCCAACUACAUUUCCAAUGCAUCAGGUGAAGACAUGUUUGUAUAUAAAGGUGUACUUGUAAUUUUGAAACUUAAAUUCAAUAUAAUAGAGUUGGGAGAGGUCACUGAUUCCUCGUUCUCCCAAAUUCUCUUAUUUUCUCCUUUUCUCUCUUCUCCUUCUUCCUCUCCUGUUUUCUCUGUUCUAGUUUAACCCAUUGAAUAGUAACCUCAACUAUCACUCGGUUAAGCUAUCCCUGCUGAGCCCAGAAAACCUAUGAUACAUUGCAGGGAUUUUCAAAGCCCCAAAUAUGAUUGCCACUUUUCCAAUGUGGGAGAUUGAGAACUCAAUGGUAAUGUCAUGGCUGAUCUCCAUGAAUGAUGAAGAAGUCGAUAGCAAAGGAAAUUUGGGAUAUAGUGAUGAUCCUCUUUGAUCGUGUUGAUGAUUAUGCCAAGGUAUAUCACCUCCAUCAAUAGAUCAUAGCUACUAAACAAGGGGGCAUGUCAAUUUUCAGUGAACUACGACACCAUUAUUGGUUUUUGGGAGGUGUAUGAUCACCACCAGGACAUGUAUCUAAUCCUAAAGAAAGGAUGUGUCCCAACACUGCUUGGUGGAUUGAGCCCAAAGUACAAACCCAUAUGUGUUCCAAUUAGGGUAAAACCCCUGUUCCAUCUUUGGAUGAGGUUCGUUAGCAAGGUUUUAAGUAUCCUUCCAUAUUUGCCUAUACUUAUUGAUACUUAUUGUAUCUUUCAGGUUCCAAUACAAUAUCUAAAAAUUCAACCAUUCAACUUUCACUGAAUGCAAUGAAGAGCACUAAACACCCCCAUGUGAGUGGCCCCAAGGAGGUAAGAGGAAUUCAGAACCACACGUUUCCUAUGGGGAAGGUCUUUUGCCAACUCAGCUACACUCUUAGGGUUUAUGCUUUAAAAUUAUAUUUUGCAUAAAUCCUAAGCAUUUCCAUAUGAAUCUAGCUUAUAUUGUGUUUCUUCGAUACGAUGUCUCUUAAAAUCACCCUUUUGAUACAAUACAUGAUAUCGAUAUUCUUAAACCUUGUUUGUGGGUACCUUGAAAUUGAGGAGACAGGACAGUAUGCUAUGGAUGUCAGGUAUGGUUUCAAUGUCCCAGCAUGGUGGUCAUAUGGGAGGCUAUGGACAUAGCAUUGGACGUGGUCAUAGUUGUUCAAUGAAAGGAUCAUCUUUAGUGUGAUCAUUGUGCCUACACGAACCCAUUACAAUAGCUAAUCUGACGUGGCUAUUUCAAGUUUGAGUUCCAAUCUACCAAGCCUAGACCUCUCCUCACCCCUUCCAUGUUUACAGAAAAAAAAAAAAAAGAGGAAGAGAGGUGGGAGAAAGGAGAACCUGAUCAACAGCAUCAGCAUCUGAAGAAGAGGAAGGAUCGGCAACAUCUGAAGAAGAAGAAGAGGAAGGAUC